AAAAAAUCCGCCAUCACAGAGGCACAAGCACUCGCGUGCAUAUAAAUUGUGCAUCCAGAGACAGACACGCACACAGGCACGAGGCAUCAAAGAGGCACCUACCCUCGUCACGCUUUUACGCAAGGCGCCCGAGAUUGAUUUCCAGCGGUUCCAGGCUGGACCGUUUCCGGGUCACGCUCGCGUGUGCCUGUGCGUGUGCGCAUUCUUUCGCUUUUCGAUAUUCUUAUUUUUGCGUUGCUUUCGGCUACAGUCGUGGUGCGCGGUACAGAGCGGGCGCUGGCGCUGGUGCACGCGGAGGCACAAUAGAGUCCCGCACAAACCCCUCACACGCACACCGGCAUGCCUAUGUGUGCGCGUGAUCCAUCUGCGAGACUCGCGCCAACCUAAGACUCUGGUAGCGUGCAUGUGUAUGCUUUGGCUUGUGUGGUUGUGCUUGUGUACCCGUGUGCGCAGAGGCGUUCGCUCUUCUGCUUUGUGUUGUGACCGUGGGUGGCAAUCGCGAGAGGCGAUCGACAGCGCGCCUCAUCGCUCGCUGUCCCUUUUGCUACCAGCCUCCGUUGUACCUGGCGAGGCCGCCCUUGAAACCGUUUCGCCCUCUCUUCGGAGAAGCGAACGCACGCCCAAGAAAACGAAAAAGCCAUGAACUCUAGGAAGGAUCCGAACGUCGCCGCUGCCGCCGCGGAACCGGAGUCGCCCACCCAAGCAUCGUCGUCUUCGUCCUCCAUGUGGGACAUGGGUGGAAGAGGCGGCGGCGCCGCACCUGCGGCUGCCGCGGACCUCUUCAGCGCCGCUCUCCAGAGACUAGGAAACACGCCUGGUCCUACUGCCGCCCCCGGCGCGACGGAGGUCGUCCCCUCGUCCUCCUCGGCUUCAGCCCAGAACCGCGAAUGCGACAGCGACGGCUUUCUGAACAGCGACGAGGACAACAGCGACGAGGGAGACGAACAGAGGGAAGAGGCUAGCGACUCCAGCGCGUCGUCGUUGUCCUCCUCGGACGGCAUGUGGGGUACUUUCAAUGGCGAUGAAGCGAGGCUGCCAUUGUGCGAUGACGACGACGACCAUGAAGCGAGCUCUUCUGGCGAUGGAGGCGAGGACGGCGUUCUCUUUGUUCCAGACCCCGUUUUCGAUCUUACCUCAUUGCAGCAGAAGGCGGUGAUGCCGUGCCUGACGCAAGACCAGCUCCCUCUUGGAGCGACAGUGUGGGUGGUUGACGAGGACGACGUGGCCACCCAGCUGACCUGUAAUUUUAGUGCUUCGUACCCGCCCGUCUGCAACGGUCGGCUAAGCGGCGAGGUGGUGCGGCACACCGGCCACAUGACGCUCGUCCGCUUUCGAAGUAAGGCGUCGGACUUGUACUUCACGCUGUGCCUGCCCACGUCGUGUCUGUCGCUGCAGCCAAUCGAGCCGUACGAUAGUGUGCCGCAUCACGACGACUCCUACGGAAUCGGCUCCGGCGCGUACGGCAUGCUUGGGCCUCGAGCUGCCUGUCGCGGAGGCGCGGAAACGUGCGGGAGCGACGGCUUCGUGGGCCACUGCCUCUUUGAAGCGAUGCCGGCGUAUGACUUUGAGAAGGUGCGAGGCACGACACUGGAAAAGGCACAGGAGGCAUUCUUUGGUGGCAUCUUCGAAAAAGCACUAACCUCCGUAAACGAGUACAUCGACGCCCAGCCCACGUCACCGACCGCCAGCGCAAGCACUGAAAAAGAUUCAAGCGUUAGCCUCGCCACUUCCGGCGACGCACCCCCAAAGGCGGCUGCCCUCGUCGACGCCCUAAUCCUGCGCUCGCGCAUCUUCGUCUUUCUCGAGCGCUACCACGAAGCCCUUGUCGAUGCGCAGCGGUGCGUUCAGUUAGAGCCGCGAUGGGUGCGCGGGUAUUUGAGCGUGGCGCGCGCGCACUGCGGUCUCGGUCAGUUCAGCGAGGCCGCCGCAGCCACCGCGCACGCGUGCAUCAUUCUGCCCUACAGUUUGGAGCUAGAGCGGAUUCGGGAGUUGAACAACCACAUGCACUACCUUCAGUCGCAGCUGCGGGCCGAAAAGGCGAGCUGCUACUUGGUUCUAGACUGCUAUUAUCGCAAGCGGCUUUGCAUCAACGCUUCUGUGACAGCGGAGACGCUGCUGUGCACUGAGGCCACGCCGAUCGUCGCAACGCACUCGGUAUUUGUAGCCAAGGACCCGCCACACCGCUGCCCCGUCUGCUUUCGCGUCUUCAGCGCGGCUGAGCAACCGGGCAGUGUCGCCGCGGACCCUUCAUCCGCGGCGCUGACCCCGGAAGCUGCGAACACCCCACCCACCAAUGAUAUCUCACCCCCGCUCUCCUCGCCGGGGGGUACAGACAUUGGCGACGACGUUGAGUACUGCAGCACCGAGUGCACACAGCGAGCAAGUCUUUACCGGCCGCUGGAGUUGAAGCAUCGCGCGCCGCUGGCGCAGGUGCGGUCGCUGAUCCUCUCUAAAGGCGCCGUCACGCUCAACGUGCUGCCGCUCGAGAUGGCCGCCAUGACGGUGCGCCUCUUCCUCAUGGUGGUCACGAUUCAUCGCCGUCUGUCCGCCAAGCGGCGAAUUGAGGACUCGAGCCGACGGAAUCUCGACGGUGAGGCGCCGUGUUCCUGCCACGACAAGAUGCGCACAUGGCCUGAUGUGGACGCACAUGUGAGCAGCGCACUGGCCAGCUCGCAGUGCCCCUCGCCUUCGCCGCCUCUGCAAGUCGAGACGUCCCUGCGGCGGCUCGGCGUCUACCCGCUCUGCACGGAGCCCAUCGCGCACAACAAACUGGACGAGCUGAAGAUUGUGUACGACGCGCUUACGGCGGACUUCAAGGCGGAAGACCGCGCCAUCUUUUCCUACGAAGUCUUGUCACAGCUGUACGCCUAUGUCUCCGCGUACUUCACCCCCGUAGACUUGAACUCGCUCCAGCCGCCGGACUCGCCAGGAGGCACCGCCUCGCAUCAGACCGUCUUUUACCUGCCUCACUACGUGGGCUGUAUCGAGACGGCUAAGGUCAUAUCCUACACGGCGGCUUCACGACGCCGGCGGUCGAGCGAGGAGUCGGCGCACGCCGAGGACGAUCUGCUUGCCUCCCGCGUAACGGUGAGACCUACAAUGAGUGAGAUGGCCGUGCCGAGCAGUAGGCAGAGCAGCUCCACGCACAGCCACGCGAGCAGUACCAGCACUGCCACCGGUGACGCCAAUGAUCGCGCAGCGGCAAGUAGUAGCGACGCGAAUUGUAUUGUGCGCAUGGCCCCGCCUCCAGCGUUGCUAGAGCUGGUCACGGUGGUCCCAGUGAACCGAGAGGGAAAGCUGCGUUGCGUCCCCGUGACGAUCGCACUUGACUCCGAUGUGGCGUAGAGACGCGCUCAGCGAUGUAGGGGGGGGGAGGCCCUGCGCGUGUAUGCUGAGGGAGAGUGGCGGCUGCAACGAAAUACAGCCACGGGAAGAGAGACGAGUGGGGAGUGGGGAGGGAGGGAUAUAGAGAAGGAGCUUGGAUGUAGGAAGGAAUGAAGGCUGAGCAGAGGCAGCUGUAUCGCUCCGCAGAUCGGCAACAAAGACACAAGUGGCGAAGAUAGUAUGCGAAACCCGGCAGCUCACACACGCGUGCGCAUGGUUCCUCUCCUCGCAUAGCCGUCAAAACACCGGUUAUACACGCGGGCGCUACUCUACUGCGCCCCUGUUUUCUCCUUGUUCUGCUUGUCCAACCACUCCCUCUUCGCCUGCCUCUUCAUGUGCAGCACCUCUGACGACUGCCUCCCUUCUCUUUUCAUGAUCGCAUCGUCUCUCCUCGUCCCCUGUGCAGCUGUUGAAGGUGCUCAUUUUCGAUGCUUUCCUCGGCACGUUGCAGUGCCAUUGUGUUUUCCCGUUUCUUCUCCGUUGUUGUUGUAUGUGCCUCCCUUCUUGCCGCUGUUUUUUUUUUUUUUGCUUUAUUGCUUUCCACUUUACCUUUUUUAAAGAUGUCCAGCUCCUCUGUAUGGCCUAUCCCACUGCCGCCACCAUCUCCUCCUUUUUUUUACCCGUUUCCUUUCUUUCACGCUUCUUUGUUCACCUUGUUAUCCAAAUAUCGGCCUACCGUGUACCUCAAUCGCCAUUUUCAUCACCAUUACAAUUAUCAUACCUUCUCUCUCCCCUCUCCUCCUCCUACUCCGCGCGCUUGCUUGCUUGCUUGCUUGCUUUCUCUUUCCCUUUCAUAUGUACUGCCUUCUCUGUCGCUGUUUGUGUGUUCGUGUGUGUGUGUGUGUUCUGCGGUAACAUUCUGUAAGAGCGUGGUGAGCGAUCAGGAUGUGGGCGAUGCAGUCCGAUGGUGUCCGUUGUUUUUUUUUUUUCUUUCUGCGCCCCCCUUCUUCGUCGAUGUUGUGUCGCUUCCUCCGCCUCGCUUGCUUCCUCAUGUUUCAUCACAUUUUCCUUCAUUAUAGUCGUGUGUCGAAAACUAGUUGUCUCUUUGUUUUCGUUUGUUUUUGGGUAUUUUCAUGUUGUUGUGUGCGGGCGUUUUCUUUGCUUGUUCAUCUCGUGUUGCGUCGAACCCCCGCCUCCCUCUCUUCCCCCUCAUUUCGACAUGCGAUUAGCCUCUCACUGUCUACGCCCACUUUCCCGUGUAUGUCGCUACGCUUUUUGGCACUGGUACAUGUUGGUUUUCUCUCUCCAGUUUUUUCCUUUUCAUGUGUUGUGACCCGUGUGUAUGAGGUGCGCUGACUCUUCAUGAAUUCCAUGUCCUUCCCGUUUCUGUGAUGUUUCCGUGUUUCCUUUAGUGUUGUUGCAACUCCUGCGCCUUUUUUCGCGAUUUUCUUUUGCUCCCUCCACCCCCCCCCUCUCUCUCGCUGUGCGUGUUUGAGUGCUCUCACCCCUCUUCGUGUUGUGGUGUGGCUCUUGUUUUUCUUUUUUCGUUUUCCUUUUGGUCUCUCCAUCUCUACCCCUUUUGCAUGCUCAGUGUUUUGGCUAGCACCGUCUCAGCUGUGUCGCUUGCCGCGGUGGGUGGGGGUAGAGCUCGAACAAGGUUCAGCUCAUCAUACUGCUGUUCUCGUCGAGCUUCUUCGCAACACCGCUCUCCCACCCCACCACACUAACAGCGCAUAGAAGUAUAGGGGGAGGGACGGAUACACCUGCUAGGACUGAAGAGUAGAGAGGGAAUCACACCACCUCCAAGAAAACGAGGCCAACGUAUAUAUAUAUAUAUAAUGCGUGCACUGCGAUGCUCGCGCCAAGGUACCUGCCAGCUCACGCGCCACGUUCUCGGUGCCCCACGCGUACGCUGGACCGGGUGAAAUCCAGGCUGCGAACAAGUCCCUCGAGAUAUGAGGGAACCCAAACGACUAGAAGACACAAGGCUCUCUAGUGAAGAACGAAAAAAAAAACAUAAAACAGGUUUAAACGAGCUAAUCAGCUAUUGAAGCGGCAUGAAUACCCUCUCCUCGGCGCAUUGUGGUGUUUGAGAAGGGCGUGGCCCUAACGCUCGCAUGCAUCGUAGCCUUUCGCUCCCCUCUAUCUCUCGUCAAAACCUCUGCCGCCAUUUUUCCUUUUCUGUCAUGCACACCUCUGCUCGGCGCUGAAUCGCCACCUAUUCUGACCAAAAACAUCAUACUCUCCCCUCGAG
rnacentral:misc_RNA from 1 species